ACACACACACACACACACACACACACAUUAUGUUCUUGCCAUAAAGAAACACCAUGACCAAGGCAACUCUUAUAAAAGAAAGCAUUUAACUGGGGGUUUGCUUACCAUUUCAGAGGUUUAGUCUAUUGUCAGUAUGGCAGAGAGCUUGGCAGCAGGCAGGUAUCGUGCUCGAGAAUUAACUUGGAGCUACAUUAUAUUAAGCAGAAAGAGAGAGACUGUGGGCCUGACAUGAACUUUUGAAACUCUAAAGCCUACUGUAAGUAACACUUCCUCUAACAAGACCACACCCCCUAACUCUUCUAAUUCUUUCAGAGUUCUACUUCCUGGUGACUAAGGAUACAAGUGUAUGAGGUUAUGGGGGCCAUUCUUAUUCAAACCACCACAAGUAUAUUGUACCUGUCAGCAUGACAAUUGUGCUUAAGAGAAUGAAUACUGCACUUACUGUUCUAGUCCACUUGUUUGAUGGGGUGUCUGGCAAAGUGAAUAAAACUUGUAUUUUAUUAGAAAGGUUCAAAAGAAACCAUAUUUUCAACAGUCUGUUUCUUGUAGCUAUAUUUUUUCUCCUCUCUUGAUCAAUAAGACCACUCAAUACUUACAUUAACUGUUGCUUAUCUAUUACUGCCUACAAGAGUGGCAUAAACAUUCUCUUUUAUAGCUGCAGUCAUCGGGGUCAGGUGAUACUAGUGGUGUAUUUAUCUGUCAGGGAAAGAUAUCAUUGGAUAGACAAUGUGUUUGAUUUGCUGACCAGGAUCUGGAUACUCUGAUUUUCAAGGUUUAAACUUGCUCUAGCUGACCUAUCAGCUGAAGUUAUAUAACCAUAAUUUCCAGCAUUUGAGGAUCUCAGCUAUUAGACCACAAAGUUGCUGUUAUAUUAUUUUAUAUUGUAUUUAAUAUGCUUAUGAUGGUUUAGAUUCAUUUCCCCUAAGUGUAUUUUUAAAAUAAUGGUCCAGGCCUUAAUGGAAUUAUGAUCUGUAUUUGAGAAAGUAAAGCUUUUAAAAUUAUAAAAGCCCAUUUAUUCUUUCUACAUCUCUUUCCCCCAUUUUUCCAUUUCAUAGCUUGAUUUAGACUUUGUGUUCUAAACCUAGUCCAUUAUUUAUUGAAGAAAGUUUACUUUUAAUUAGCCUCAGCUUUAUUUAAUCUCACUAUAAUAGUUUGAUUUUUAUAUAAAAUAUUCAAUCAUGCUUUACCAUAUGGUGAACAUCAUUUAUACAUAAAAGCUACUUGCUGUUAUACCUUUGGAAAUCAUCAGAGGAUCUCAGUAAGAGUUUUCCAGCCAUCUGCUUCUUUUUCAAACCCUGUGUCGAAGUAGACUUCUGCAGUGGUUAUUCUGAGGUCAAUAAGCUAUAGUGUCCAGUUAAAUGCCCUUGUGAGUAACCCUCUAGAAGUAAGGCCUCAUGAAGAGAUCACUUCAAUGGCUUGUAUAUCAAAGUAGAGUUUCCCAUUUUACUACAUUGGAAAAACACUUAAAUCUCUUUCUAUCCCACAUCUACUGUUUCAGCAGGGCAUCUUCCUGUCAGAAACCCAAUAGGUCCCAGUCUUACCAGUGGGGCUUAUUAUGAUGUAAUUAAUCAUAUUGUUAGUCUUCUUUACUUCUUUUUAAAAAUGCCAAGAGAAUUUAAUAAACCAAACAUCCCUGGGACAUUUAAAUAUCUGUUUAUCAAUUUUUAGUUAACAGAAAAUGAAAUGAUAAGAAAAAUAGGCUAAUGGGAUAUGAAUUAUCAACCAAAGUUCAGAAGUAGAGACAGAUCAUCACUAAUAUAAUAUAAUCAAUGGGGAGAUGAUUCAAUUUACAAAAAUUCAGUUUUGGCUCAAAUUUUCUAAAAUAUAUUUAUUGCACAGGGUGAUAGAUAUUUGUCUUUGGAUGGGCUCCUCAUUUUUUCAAUCAAGCCAUUUAGUGAUCUAACAGCUGAAUUAUUUCAGUGACUAGAAAUGUAUAUUGAGAUAUGAAGUGGACCUCUUGUUUUUAAUCUCUAUUCAUUUAAAUUUUAUAUAUACAUUUUUAUUUUUACACACACAUUUUACAUGUUUUUGACAGCAAAGUCAAAUGAGAUGUCAAUUGGGGAACAAAGAAGCAAAGUUUGACCACUGGUCAGUAAAAUUACUUACCAUUACAAACUGGUACCUAAAUUACUCAGUUAUU
rnacentral:lncRNA from 1 species